AGCGAUCACCACCAACAUUGAUAGGGUUAGUUUUCAUUCGCUCACCAACAACAUACCUUUAGUUUUCACUCGCUCACCAAAGAAACGGACAAUGACACAACCUCUCGGACACACUAUCUCUCUAAUAUUUUUCGGUCUCUCUUCUCUCUUUUGUGUACACAGUAAAUGUUUCUUCUCAUUUUCUCGUACUUAUAGUGUUGGCUUCGUGUUGACCUUUGCAUCACAUCCUCGAGUCUUGAUUUUCUGUCUGUUGCUAAAUUCACGGUGAUAAUUUCAUCGGAUAUCUCCUGAUGGAUUAUGUUGAAUCUUCUUCUAUUCUGCAGAUAUCGACUUUCUUAGUUGUAGUGCUUGACUUUGUGAUUGUAGAAUCUCAAUUAUCUACAGGCUUCUUGAAUUUCAAACCUUUCUUCAGAUAUGAAGUGUGUCCAUAUAUUCCUUCAUAUGGGUUUAAUUGGUUCUUCUAAUUGCAAUACCAUCUUUGGAAUCUUUUCCAAUUGAAUCCUUCUAUCAAUCAUAUCGCACAUGGUAAGGAACAUAUUAAUUCCUUUAAUAGUCCAUCAUGGAUAUGGAAUUCUUUAUGUUUUGGAUGAUUCUCAGCAGAUCCUUCAUUAGGGUAUGAAUAAUAGAGUGAUUAUAGGAUUUAUCUUUCAUCCAUAGGCUGAAGUGAUUCCACUCCACGUGAGAUUCCAAUAUGCUAGGACUCUUUCCAUUUAUUUUUCUUGCACCAAUCUUGUAACAGUUGUGUAUUCAAUGAAUAUUGUUUCUUGCUUAUAUCCUUUC
rnacentral:lncRNA from 1 species